rnacentral:lncRNA from 1 species
AUCAUCCAGACUUUCUUUGUUUUAUUGCCAGAUUUUUCAUAUAUGUAGAUGGUAAACACAGCUUCUUACUUCUUUGUAAUUACUUUAUCUUUAACUUCUUUGUAAAUAGAAUCUGUGGCCAUCACUGAACAAAAGAACGCUUUAAAUGAACACCAAUGAUUUCCAAAGACCAAGUGGCUUACAACAGAAGAAAAUCAGAAGUCUUUGCAACGGAGGCUGAUGCAUUUUUAGAAGCCAGAAGGUAAGCAGAAGCCUCAGUCAGUGGAUGUUCUUAAUGCUUUCUGUCCAUGCAACGUAUUUCAAUUAAGUCGAGGUACUUGUGAUGUAGUAAGAUAAUUUAAAAGA